CCUGGUGGCGAGUGGCGAACGGGUGAGUAAUAUAUCGGAACGUGCCCAGUCGUGGGGGAUAACGUAGAGAAAUUUACGCUAAUACCGCAUACGAUCUAAGGAUGAAAGCGGGGGACCGUAAGGCCUCGCGCGAUUGGAGCGGCUGAUAUCAGAUUAGGUUGUUGGUGAGGUAAAAGCUCACCAAGCCGACGAUCUGUAGCUGGUUUGAGAGAACGACCAGCCACACUGGGACUGAGACACGGCCCAGACUCCUACGGGAGGCAGCAGUGGGGAAUUUUGGACAAUGGGCGAAAGCCUGAUCCAGCAAUGCCGCGUGCAGGAAGAAGGCCUUCGGGUUGUAAACUGCUUUUGUACGGAACGAAAAGGUCUGCCUUAAUACGGCGGGCCCAUGACGGUACCGUAAGAAUAAGCACCGGCUAACUACGUGCCAGCAGCCGCGGUAAUACGUAGGGUGCGAGCGUUAAUCGGAAUUACUGGGCGUAAAGCGUGCGCAGGCGGUGAUGUAAGACAGUUGUGAAAUCCCCGGGCUCAACCUGGGAAUUGCAUCUGUGACUGCAUCGCUAGAGUACGGUAGAGGGGGAUGGAAUUCCGCGUGUAGCAGUGAAAUGCGUAGAUAUGCGGAGGAACACCGAUGGCGAAGGCAAUCCCCUGGACCUGUACUGACGCUCAUGCACG
rnacentral:rRNA from 1 species